UACGUAGGGGGCAAGCGUUGUCCGGAUUUAUUGGGCGUAAAGAGCGUGUAGGCGGCCAUGCAAGUCAGCUGUGAAAACUCGAGGCUCAACCUCGAGACGUCGGUUGAAACCGUAUGGCUAGAGUCCGGAAGAGGAGAGUGGAAUUCCCGGUGUAGCGGUGAAAUGCGCAGAUAUCGGGAAGAACACCUAUGGCGAAGGCAGCUCUCUGGGACGGUACUGACGCUGAGACGCGAAAGCGUGGGGAGCGAACAGG
rnacentral:rRNA from 1 species